rnacentral:tRNA from 1 species
GCGCUGCUGGGGCGGGACCGGCCGCUCGCCCUCGUGUACCGGGGGCCGGCCUCCUGCUCCGGCUGCUCGGAGGCGGUCGCGGCGCU